rnacentral:rRNA from 1 species
UACGUAGGGACCGAGCGUUGUCCGGAAUCAUUGGGCGUAAAGAGCGUGUAGGCGGCCUUUUAAGUCCUGCGUGAAAUCCUGCGGCUCAACCGCAGACGGUCGUGGGAAACUGGAAGGCUAGAGUGCGGGAGAGGAGAGUGGAAUUCCCGGUGUAGCGGUGAAAUGCGCAGAUAUCGGGAAGAACACCCGUGGCGAAGGCGGCUCUCUGGAACGCGACUGACGCUGAGACGCGAAAGCGUGGGGAGCAAACAGG